AGGGAGACUGACUGCUGGCUGUCCUCUUACUGCUGGGCCUGUCCCUUCCAAUCAGCGCCCAGGGCUCUGAGCGCACUGCUUUGCUGGCGUCUGUGAGCAGCUGGAGAUGGUGGUGAACGGUCUGUUUGCAUUUCUUGGAAGAAGAUCUUUUAUUCUGCUGCUCAACCCAGGUCUCUGCUUUCCUUAGAGACUGAGGCCCAUCCUUCAGUUUCCCUGAUUCUGGAAGAGCAGGGGGGUUGAAUGGAGCAGGAGGUCAUGAUGGAGACUUGGGCCCCAGCACCCCGCAGCAUUUGCAGCGCCUCCUUAUAUAGG